GUAAUUUUCUUUUUUUCCUUUUUCCCUCCUUCCUUUUUUCCCUUUUCUUUUUUUGUCCUUCCUUCUUUCUCUCUUUUUCUCUUUUCCCUUUUCUCUCUUUUCUUUCUCCUUUUUUCCAGCUGGUGGGCCGGCAGCCCAUCUCCCUUUUCCUCCUCUCUCCACUCCUCCUUUCCAUCCCUCCCCUUUUUCCCCCUCCCUUCGGCCUCCUCCCCUCUUCCGUGUGGCCCGGCCCAGUUCCUCGGCCCGCUCGCUUCACUCCCUCUCCCCCUCUC
rnacentral:lncRNA from 1 species